UACGUAGGUGGCGAGCGUUGUCCGGAUUUACUGGGCGUAAAGGGCUCGUAGGCGGCCAACUAAGUCAGACGUGAAAUCCCUCGGCUUAACCGGGGAACUGCGUCUGAUACUGGAUGGCUGGAGGUUGGGAGAGGGAUGCGGAAUUCCAGGUGUAGCGGUGAAAUGCGUAGAUAUCUGGAGGAACACCGGUGGCGAAGGCGGCAUCCUGGACCAAUUCUGACGCUGAGGAGCGAAAGCCAGGGGAGCAAACGGG
rnacentral:rRNA from 1 species